rnacentral:tRNA from 1 species
AGCCCCGUGGUGUAGUGGUCAAUCAUUUCGGCCUUUGGAGCCGAAGACAGCGGUUCGAAUCCGCUCGGGGCUA